UACGUAGGCAGCAAGCGUUGUUCGGAAUUACUGGGCGUAAAGGGUGCGUAGGCGGCUUUUUAAGUUUGGUGUGAAAUCUCCUGGCUCAACUGGGAGGGUGCGCCGAAUACUGAGAAGCUAGAGUGUGGGAGAGGAAAGUGGAAUUCCUGGUGUAGCGGUGAAAUGCGUAGAUAUCAGGAGGAACACCGGUGGUGUAAACGGCUUUCUGGACCAUAACUGACGCUGAGGCACGAAAGCGUGGGUAGCAAACAGG
rnacentral:rRNA from 1 species